UGGGGAAUAUUGGGCAAUGGGCGAAAGCCUGACCCAGCAACGCCGCGUGAAGGAAGAAGGUCUUCGGAUUGUAAACUUCUUUUAUGAGGGACGAAGGACGUGACGGUACCUCAUGAAUAAGCCACGGCUAACUACGUGCCAGCAGCCGCGGUAAUACGUAGGUGGCAAGCGUUAUCCGGAUUUACUGGGUGUAAAGGGCGCGUAGGCGGGGAUGCAAGUCAGAUGUGAAAUCUAUGGGCUUAACCCAUAAACUGCAUUUGAAACUGUAUCUCUUGAGUGCUGGAGAGGUAGACGGAAUUCCUUGUGUAGCGGUGAAAUGCGUAGAUAUAAGGAAGAACACCAGUGGCGAAGGCGGUCUACUGGACAGUAACUGACGCUGAGGCGCGAGAGCGUGGGGAGC
rnacentral:rRNA from 1 species